rnacentral:tRNA from 2 species
CACAUUAAAGUUUAUUAUAGAAUUUUUCUGUUACAAUGAAAGGGUCUCGCAUUGUUGGGUAGUGUGAGAA